GGCCAACAUGCAACAACACCUUUACAACCAGCAUACCUUAUCUGAUAAGCACAAGGAGGAUUGACACUUAAUUGCAACUUCGCUGCAACUUCUAUAGAUAGAUCUGCUGUCAUCAUGCCGAUUCCAUCAGAGAAAACAUACCCAUUUCUUUCUAUAUCUGGAAGCUCGGAGUUAACCUCGCUUGGAAGGACUUCCACUGUUGCAUAGGUUGAUGAAAAGCACUGUCCCAUCCUAGCAGCACAUUUUGCA
rnacentral:misc_RNA from 1 species